CACCGUGUAAUCCGGUUCUUUAUACGGCACUACGAUGCCAUUCGGAUGGAAUCUAUGAAGCGUGCACUUAGAAAAGCAGCAACUGCACUAUACCUAGUGUGGUGCCCCGUGCGACUAUCUUGAAAAGGGGAUUGAAAAAGGAAGAGAAUAUGUAUGUAUGUGGAAAUGGAAGACCGGUGAUUAAUACAGCUCUACCAUUGGCAUUGGCAAAGUCUAAACCUUCGCUUACUUUUCCUCUACAUACGGCCAUAAAAAUGGCACCUUUACACGAUGGAUCUUGUAUCUUUUGAUAAUAUUCAUGCAUAACAUUUAGAAAACCAUCUUUAGAUUUGGGCUCCACAUAUAUGGACUGUUCAUCAAUGGAAAUUAAUAUAAGAGAAUAUUAAUUAAUAAUAAUAUGUAAAAAUUUAUAUGCGAUAAAAAAUUAAGAUAGUUAUUCUUUUUCAUUA